rnacentral:tRNA from 1 species
GGAGGUUUUAGUUUAAUUAAAGCGCUUGAGUUGCAUUCAGGAGAUGUGAAUUAAUAUUUCAUAAGUCUUA